rnacentral:rRNA from 1 species
AGGGGUUCUGAGAGGAUGAUCCCCCACACUGGUACUGAGACACGGACCAGACUCCUACGGGAGGCAGCAGUGAGGAAUAUUGGUCAAUGGGCGAAAGCCUGAACCAGCCAUGCCGCGUGCAGGAUGACGGCGCUAUGCGUUGUAAACUGCUUUUCUGCUCCAAGAACCCCCCGAUCGUGAUCGGGGUUGACGGUAGAGCAGGAAUAAGCAUCGGCUAACUCCGUGCCAGCAGCCGCGGUAAUACGGAGGAUGCAAGCGUUAUCCGGAUUUAUUGGGGUUUAACAGGGGUGGGCGUAGGCGUGGAUAAUAAGUCAGUGGUGAAAUCCUGCGGCUUAACCGUAGAAUUGUCAUUGAUACUGUUAUUCUUGAGUUCAGUUGAGGUGGGCCGGAAUGUAUAAUGUAGCGGUGAAAUGCUUAGAUAUUAUACAGAACACCGAUUGCGAAGGCAGCUCACUAAGCUGAUACUGACGCUGAGGCACGAAAGCGUGGGGAGCGAACAGGAUUAGAUACCCUGGUAGUCCACGCUGUAAACGAUGAUCACUCGCUGUUGGCAAUACAUCGUCAGCGGCUGAGCGAAAGCAUUAAGUGAUCCACCUGGGGAGUACGUCGGCAACGAUGAAACUCAAAGGAAUUGACGGGGGCCCGCACAAGCGGUGGAACAUGUGGUUUAAUUCGAUGAUACGCGAGGAACCUUACCUGGGCUUAAAUGCAGAACGACGGUUCCCGAAAGGGAUCCUUCUUCGGACGGACUGCAAGGUGCUGCAUGGUUGUCGUCAGCUCGUGCCGUGAGGUGUCGGGUUAAGUCCCAUAACGAGCGCAACCCCUAUUGUUAGUUGCCAGCGAGUAAUGUCGGGGACUCUAACGAAACUGCCGGUGUAAACCGAGAGGAAGGUGGGGAUGACGUCAAAUCAGCACGGCCCUUAUGUCCAGGGCUACACACGUGUUACAAUGGACGAUACAGAGGGAAGCUACUUGGCGACAAGAUGCUAAUCUCGAAAAUCGUUCUUAGUUCGGAUUGGAGUCUGCAACUCGACUUCAUGAAGCUGGAAUCGCUAGUAAUCGCACAUCAGCCAUGGUGCGGUGAAUACGUUCCCGGGCCUUGUACACACCGCCCGUCAAGCCAUGGAAGCCGGGGGUACCUAAAGUCCGUAAC